UUACUAUGAGUGGAACUACUCGUAUUGAGCUGACAGAUGAGAAUGCAACCCGGGGAAUGCCAUUGUCGCCGACAACAGUUGCCGCAAUUUGCACUCAAUCAGACGCCGAUAUGAAUGAACGUAGAAGUAGCAGCGGCAGUCUGCACAGUGAGAAUAACGAUUAUUUGGUGUCUGUAUUGGACCGUCCACCUCCAUAUGCACCUGCCACGGAUGCCAAAGUAAUUCACGACGGUAACAGCCACAUACCGACAGCACCAUUAUAUGGUUUUGCGCCCGAUUCGAACAUGGGAUCCAAAGCCACCGGCCAAUACUACAACGAAAGGCUGAACAAUUCAGUAACUGCUCCAGGUGCAGAGCCUCCACCUCCUUACGACUCACAAAAUAAAUCAAAAGGCAGCGGAAACAAACAGGAAAAGUCUUGCCUUCGACGCACGGCAACUUACGCAGGAGCAUCCCUCAUGCUGUUUGGAUUCUUAUUGUGCAUCUGUUUGGUAGCGUUUUUCCCGAUGACUAUGAGUUUCGACAACACGUUCGAAGAAAGUCACGAUAAAGCUGCAAAAAUGUUCAUGAUUUUCGGUUUGGGAAUUGUGUGCUGCGUUUUUGGUUGUAUUAUAGCAGCGAUUGGAAGUGGGGUAAGUUUUCCUCAGCUCCUCCUUGGCAUUAAACAUAGUCUUUUAAGGAGGAAUUCCACAAUUUUCCACAUUUCUUUUUUUUAAAAAAAAAAUAAGAAUGUUGACGUUCUUGUUUCUUGGGCCGAUGACAUCAUUUGUUGACGAUGAAGACGUCUCCUGAAAGAAUAAACCUGCAAACGCAUCGACCUUCUCUAAAAAUAAAUGUGAAGGAGUUCAAUUUUCUUUGGCUACUAACCUCUGAGCAGCUUAAGAGUUAAAGAAAAUUUUACAACUGUAUUGAAGGGCUAUAUUUUCGUCUUUAGCCCUAUAAUUUUCUGUUAAAACUGCGCCCUUUUUGAGGGCAAACGCCUGUCAAAUUUGAAUCUGUGCUGAAAACAUUGCUCCGUCUGCUAUAAGGGACAGAAUUAGGCGACUAUGUGUAAAUGAAUGAAAUCAAAAGGAACUAUAGGCAGUAGACGUGCGACCGUGCGUACGCAUAUACUUCAUGGUGAGAGGCGGGUCCAGCAAUUUGGCAACACCGGAUUCCCUUCAUUUAAACCUAUGUUAAUUAAUCGAUUCCUGUCGGAGCACCUGGCCCCUCCAAAAAUCGAUAUCUUUCCAUAGAAUUAGAUGGAGAAAAACAAUGUUGCCAAGCUGCUGGAUCCGCCAAUGUUCUUGGUUUGAUUGAAGUAAUUUCACACACUUCCUCCCUCUGCAAAAGUAUGUUCAAAUUUAAUAAUCUCCAAAAUUAACAAAUGUUAUUUUUUCCUUCUUUUUCAGACACGAUAUCCACGAGAAGGAUAAUCAUAGUCCGUGGCGACGAUGAUUCAGUAUGAGCUGAACUAUUUGCUUCCGGCGCAAUGUUUCGAUUGGCCUCUGAUCAUUGCUUAUGGAAACUGCGAUUCGAAAAAAUUGAGCGCUCCUCAUACAAUAAAAAACUUACUUCUAUCCCCCCCCCCCCAUUUGUUUAAGUAGAUGACAUAGUAAUCUUUCGAAUGCAUUUACUUUUCAGCUAUCCGAUGAGCUAUUAUAUCACAAUUCAAGUAGCAUUUUUCAACAGAAAAAUCGGGAUAUAUUGCAAUUUUAUCGACGAUAAAAUCGCUAGCAUCAUCAACAUCGGAGCGAUUAUCCUCGAUCUUAUCGGGAUAAAAUCGCGAAUUUAUCGCAAUAUUUUCGAAACAAAAAUCUUGAUAAAUGGCGAUUUAAUCUCGAUUAUAUCGACAAAAAUUGAUCGCGAUUUUAUCGAUCCAAAAUUUGCGAUGCGUAGCGAUUUAAUCGCCAUAUAUCGCAAUUUCUAAUGCAAUAAUACCUCGAUAUAUUGCCACCUAUAUAAUCGCGAUAACCAACCGAUAAAAUCGCUAUCGUGAUCACUGCCACUUGGGGAGUUUCCUAAAAAAUACUGUCAAUUCCCUUAACUCUCACUUUGCUGUUUCCGCCUUCGCUCCCCUUAAAUACUUGUGAUCUGACGUGCAUUUAUUGAAAACAUUCCUGAACCCCAUUUGAUGGGGAAGCAGGAAGAGGAGGGGAACUAUUGUUUGCCUUGUGACGCGCUCGAUUAAUUUGUCCACGAAAAAGAAUGUAUGUAAAUCUAAAUCAGUUUUAUCAAAUGCACAUUUCAUGAGCUGCAAACUUCAAAUCAUGCUCUAGUUUCGUCCGACCAUUUUCGGACUUUUCUUUAGCCUAUCUUUUGUAAGUUUUUCAUCAUUACGGUCCGAUUUUCGCGGACAAUCAAAAUGUACAUAAAUAAGGUGAAGCGUCUUUUUGACACUGAUCUUGAAGAAUAUUAUCCUCCUUAAUGGAUAUAAUGGAUAUUUAUAAUGAUGCCAAAAUAUUAUUUUUUAAAAAAAAUCAUUGUGGUUUUGUAAACCUACAAAUUUAAAAUAGGAACAGGACCAUUUCAUAAAGCUAUUAAAUAAUUUUUGUAUCGAAUAAAGUAUUUUUGUACACCAACAUUGUUAUUUUCUUACUUCCAAAGACAAAAUUGAAAGCAAACAUGCGGCAAAAAUUUGUCAAUCAAGCCACAUUGAGUAAAAUACUCACUGAAAAUUCCAUGGUUACGGUCAAAAGCAUCUCGAAAACUCUCAUAUGGUUCAAUGAAAUCCGCACCUCCCAUUGGCGGAAUUUUCCUAGGGAAAAAGCUAUAAAAACCCCGUAUUUUCCUCCACGGGUUCAGUAUUAAUGAGCGCUCGCGAAGCUCAGAGCGAUGGCGCCGAAACUGAUUGUGGCUGUCCCAUGUCCCCCGGUCCCUCCAAGCGCGGCGCCGCUAAGGGGAAGAAGAAAGUCUCGGCCUCUACGCGAGCGGGGUUGAUCCUCCCCGUGGGUCGCAUCGGAGGGAUGCUGCACCGAGGUCAUUACGCCCACCGCACCAGUCGAAAGGCUCCCGUGGCCAUGGCAGCCGUCCUCGAAUACCUGGCCUUCGAAAUCCUCGACCUGGCGGCCGCUCAGAAUUGCAUGAGGAAACGCAUCACCCCCCGAGACAUCCUCCUAGGCAUCCGCAACGAUUUGGAACUGGACGAGUUGUUUACCAGCUGCAAGGAUUCUACGAUCCGGAAGGUGGUGUUGUGCCAGGGUUGAUCAUGCCCUACGAGCGGCCCAAGCCCAAGAGGGUGGUCAAGAAGAAGCAGAAGAAAAGGAAGAAGAAGAAGUCCGAACGCUCUGACAUGGACACUAGUGGCAGAAGUGCCCAGUGCGCCCCCACUCCACCGCCCGACUGUUGAUGAGUCCUCUUUUAAAAGGCCCUUUUAAGGGCCAAUAAUGCGAGAGCUAAUAACGAUUGCUUCAGAGACAAUUUUUAAUGCUGAGCAUUGCUUCUAUUUCCGAAUCCUGAACAAUCUCGAAUUCUCGAAAUUUUUGCUAUUUUCAAAAUUUGUAGAUAUUUUUGAAAUGUUUUGGCAUUAUCUUGGAAUCGGGUUUCCUCGUUAGUUUGACCGAUUUUUUUUCUUCCUUUUUUUUAAAAAAAAUUCAAUUUGAUGAUUUUUUAAAAUUUCGGAGCUAAAUCCGGGCGUAGUUUGGAUCAUUUCCCCGGAACUUUUGAAAAAAUCGGAAUUUUUCUUGGAAUUUGGGGUAAUUGAUAAAUUAAUCCUGGAAACCCUGGAAUCUUUGGUAAAAAAAAUACAGCAAUGACCCUAAAGUUGGCGCUUUGUAAGUGCACCCCACUCAUAGA
rnacentral:lncRNA from 1 species